GUGGCUAUAGCUCAGUGGUAGAGCACCUGCCUCACAUGUAUGAGGUGCUGGGUUCGAUACUCAGAACCACA
rnacentral:tRNA from 1 species